rnacentral:rRNA from 1 species
UACGUAGGGUGCAAGCGUUGUCCGGAAUUAUUGGGCGUAAAGAGCUCGUAGGUGGCCUGUCGCGUCGGCUGUGAAAACUCGGGGCUCAACUCCGAGCUUGCAGUCGAUACGGGCAGGCUAGAGUUCGGCAGGGGAGACUGGAAUUCCGGGUGGAGCGGUGAAAUGCGUAGAGAUCCGGAAGAACACCGACGGCGAAGGCAGCGUCCUGGCCGAGGCCUGACGCUCAGGCACGAAAGCGCGGGGAGCGAACAGG